rnacentral:tRNA from 1 species
UGGGGGUUGGCCGAGUGGGUUAAGGGGCGUUGGACUUAAGUUCCAAUGGACAAGUGUCCCGCGUGGGGUUCGAACCCCACACCCAG